rnacentral:rRNA from 1 species
GGUGGUGCAUGGUUGUCGUCAGCUCGUGUCGUGAGAUGUUAGGUUAAGUCCUGCAACGAGCGCAACCCUUGUUAUUAGUUGCUACCAUUAAGUUGAGCACUCUAAUGAGACUGCCUGGGUAACCAGGAGGAAGGUGGGGAUGACGUCAAAUCAUCAUGCCCCUUAUGUCCAGGGCUACACACGUGCUACAAUGGUAGGUACAAUAAGACGCAAGACCGUGAGGUGGAGCAAAACUUAUAAAACCUAUCUCAGUUCGGAUUGUAGGCUGCAACUCGCCUACAUGAAGCUGGAGUUGCUAGUAAUCGCGAAUCAGAAUGUCGCGGUGAAUACGUUCCCGGGCCUUGUACAC